CAAUAGUUUAGCUGUUGCUCAGUAGCACUUACGCUGAUCAAGGACUUUUCAGUCUCUCCUGCUCUGCCAGUGAGGAGUGGCACAAGAAACCAGGAGGAGCAAAAACAGGACAGCUGAUCCAAAGUAGCCAAAGAGGUAUUCCAUACCACAGCAUGUCAAGCCCAGUAUAUAAACGGGGGGGACUGGCCAGAAGGGAUCGCUGC